rnacentral:lncRNA from 1 species
CCCCCGCCGCAAGUGGAUAAUAUUAAUAGUGUAAAAAUAUGCAAGUGUUCGGUAAACAGGAAGUUGUCGAGUGAUGAAUCUGAAAACGCAUCACACGGUAAAGCUGACUUAUAUAAAUCCUGAAACCAAAUUUCAGAAAUCCUUGUAUUGUAGUUCCUGAGAAAAAUGUGACGAAAAUUUUCAACUUGGCUAUCAUGUGUAAAAUCAUACAAGUGUUCGGUAAACAGGAAGUUGUCAAGUGAUCAAUCUGAAAACGCAUCACACGGUAUAGCUGAGUUAGAUAAACCCUGAAACCAAAUUUCAGAAAUCCUUGUAUUGUAGUUCCUGAGAAAAAUGCGACGAAAAAUAUUCAUGGGACGGACGGACUGACUGACGGAAGGACAGAC